rnacentral:rRNA from 1 species
UACGUAGGGGGCGAGCGUUGUCCGGAUUUAUUGGGCGUAAAGAGCUCGUAGGCGGUCUGUUACGUCUGCUGUGAAAACCCGGGGCUUAACCCUGGGCUUGCAGUGGAUACGGGCAGACUAGAGGCAGGUAGGGGAGAAUGGAAUUCCCGGUGUAGCGGUGAAAUGCGCAGAUAUCAGGAAGAACACCCGUGGCGAAGGCGGCUCUCUGGGACGGUACUGACGCUGAGACGCGAAAGCGUGGGGAGCGAACAGG